AUUGAACGCUGGCGGCAGGCCUAACACAUGCAAGUCGAACGAGUGGCGGACGGGUGAGUAAUGUCUGGGAAACUGCCUGAUGGAGGGGGAUAACUACUGGAAACGGUAGCUAAUACCGCAUACCAUCAGAUGUGCCUAGGUCGGAUUAGCUAGUUGGUGGGGUAAAGGCCUACCAAGGCGACGAUCCGUAACUGGUCUGAGAGGAGGAUGAGUCAAACGGGAACUGGGACACGGUCCAGACCCCUCCGGGGGGCAGCGGGGGGGAAUAUUGGACAAUGGGGGAAAGCCUGAUCCAGCCAUGCCGCGUGUGUGAAGAAGGUCUUCGGAUUGUAAAGCACUUUAAGUUGGGAGGCGUUACCAACAGAAUAAGCACCGGCUAACUUCGUGCCAGCAGCCGCGGUAAUUC
rnacentral:rRNA from 1 species